rnacentral:rRNA from 1 species
CAGAGGGGGCAAGCGUUGUUCGGAAUUACUGGGCGUAAAGGGCGCGUAGGCGGCCUUCUAAGUCGAACGUGAAAUCCCCGGGCUCAACCCGGGAACUGCGUCCGAUACUGGGAGGCUUGAAUCCGGGAGAGGGAUGUGGAAUUCCAGGUGUAGCGGUGAAAUGCGUAGAUAUCUGGAGGAACAUCGGUGGCGAAGGCGGCAUCCUGGACCGGUAUUGACGCUGAGGCGCGAAAGCCAGGGGAGCAAACGGGAUUAGAUACCCCGGUAGUCCUGGCCCUAAACGAUGAAUACUUGGUGUGGCGGGUAUCGAUCCCUGCCGUGCCGAAGCUAACGCAUUAAGUAUUCCGCCUGGGGAGUACGGUCGCAAGGCUG